UACGGAGGGUGCGAGCGUUAAUCGGAAUUACUGGGCGUAAAGCGCAUGCAGGCGGUCUGUUAAGCAAGAUGUGAAAGCCCGGGGCUCAACCUCGGAACAGCAUUUUGAACUGGCAGACUAGAGUACUGUAGAGGGUGGUGGAAUUUCCAGUGUAGCGGUGAAAUGCGUAGAGAUUGGAAGGAACAUCAGUGGCGAAGGCGGCUCCCUGGUCCAAAACUGACGCUGAGGUGCGAAAGCGUGGGUAGCAAACGGG
rnacentral:rRNA from 1 species